CCUACGGGAGGCAGCAGUGAGGAAUAUUGGUCAAUGGACGAGAGUCUGAACCAGCCAAGUAGCGUGAAGGAUGACUGCCCUAUGGGUUGUAAACUUCUUUUAUAUGGGAAUAAAAUGUUCCACGUGUGGCUUUUUGUAUGUACCAUAUGAAUAAGGAUCGGCUAACUCCGUGCCAGCAGCCGCGGUAAUACGGAGGAUCCGAGCGUUAUCCGGAUUUAUUGGGUUUAAAGGGAGCGUAGGUGGAUUGUUAAGUCAGUUGUGAAAGUUUGCGGCUCAACCGUAAAAUUGCAGUUGAUACUGGCAGUCUUGAGUACAGUAGAGGUGGGCGGAAUUCGUGGUGUAGCGGUGAAAUGCUUAGAUAUCACGAAGAACUCCGAUUGCGAAGGCAGCUCACUGGACUGCAACUGACACUGAGGCUCGAAAGUGUGGGUAUCAAACAGGAUUAGAUACCCUUGUAGUC
rnacentral:rRNA from 1 species